GGUGAGAAUUGAACCCAGGUCUCUGGCACUGUGAGGCAGCAGUGCUAACCACUGUGCCACCAUGCCGCCCACUAAAUCUUUGUGACAUUCCAUUAUUUCUUUUGAACAGCACACAUCCCCACCUAACUUCAUAUCAUCCAUAAAUUUGGAAAUAUCACAUUUCUCCCCACCUACAAAUCAUUGAUAUAUAUAUACUGUAAACAACUUGGGGGCCCAUGUACUUGUGGGACCCCACUAAUGACAACUUGCUGAUGUGAGGAUGACCUAUUAAUUCUUACUCUCUGUUUUCUGUCUGCUGGCCCCAAUCAGUAAUCCAUGCCAGUAAUUAUAUCCUAUUCCAUAUGUUUUAGUUUUCUAACCAGCCUCCAGUGGGUGACUUCAUCAAAAGUUUUCUGAAAAUCAAAGUAUACUAUAUCCAAAAUAGGGCUGUUGAGGCACACAGGUAAUAUCCCAGCCUCUGAGCAAGAAGGCUCAAGUCCCACCUGCUUUAGAGGUGUGUCACAUUCUGCUUUUUAAUUGCCAUCCCUGAAGUCUACCUUCAGGACCUCAUCCCUCUUCCUGCCUGUGGAAUUGUUACCAAUUUGGACCAUGAUUUCCGGCUGAUUGCUCUUCUUCAAAAGAUGUCCAAUAUCCGGUCCUUGACCCUGGCAUCAGGAAGGCAAUCCACCACCAUGGAAUCAUGCUUCAUGCUACCUAAGCAUCUGAUAGGAUCCCUGGUUGUGGAAUCCUUUAUAAAAGUUGCUCUUCCAUUCUUCUUCCUUCUCCCCUGUAUAGCUGAGUCACCCAUGAAGCCAUGUGCUUGUCUCUGGCUGCAAUCCCCUGGGGAAACAUUGCCCUCACCAGUAUCCCAAUGGAAUACAUUUUAGCCAGCAAGAUAGAUUCUGGGAACCUCUGCACUACUUAUCUCCCUGGUUUUCUGACAUUAUCCAUUCUCUGUCUACCAGUUCAGUGACAUCGCCAGAUCCACUACUUCUCCCAGGUUAUGUGUCUUUAAGCUGUCAAUCAAACUAUGGUCUUACAAUCUUUCUUGCCCCAUACAUUUUGAUAUUGAUUGAUUGUGGAAAACAGUUGAGCAGUCAAACAUUGAUACUUCCAAAAUGAUAUCUUAGGAUUAUGAUAACACCAGCUACGGAAACUGCUAGAAUGGAUUAUCGUCCAAUUCUUGCAUUCGCUGUGUUUUUUUCAGUUUUCUAAAAACUGGUUAUUUAAAUAACUUGACAGUUCAAUGGUUCUACAGUCCUUAUCUGCCCUUCAUAAAUAUUUAUGACUUCCCCAAAGAUUUAUAACUCCAAAACUGCAGGACACUGUCUUUACUAAAGUAAAAAUUAUGUCUAUUUGAAGUCACCAAUGCAUUCAAAUGUGGAACAUGUGGGAGUCUUGUUUACCCAUUCACCCUACUUUCCACUCCCGGUCAGAAAGAUUUCUAUCCGAUAUGGGGACAAACUUCCAGAUCUGGGGGUCUGUCUACCAUUUUGGGUGUGCUGGAGAAUCUCUCGAAUUUCAUGCAAUCCAUUGUGUUUCAAUUUGCUUUCACUAUUUUCUCUUUGUUUACCACUCUUAUCCUAAUAUUUCCUUCCCUCUCAAUUUCUCUUAUUACACCAAGUUUAUUACUGAAUUUAUUGUUUGAAUGUAAAUUCUUUGUUCAGACCUCACUUUACUCAUUUCACAAUCCUUCAAUAUGAUUUGUUCAGGAGAUACACAAUUGUUCCUUCAGAACCCAGAUCUUCUGCAGAGGUAUUUGCACCGUGCCAAUCUCCCAAUUGCAACUACUUGCAAAUGCCAUACCAUGGGGGUUAAAUGGGAAAUGAGGAGAGAUAAUGGUGGAAGAUGGUGCGUUGACAAUACAUGGAGGUUGAGCAGUCUGAAGAACAAUGAUGAACUGCAAUCACAUUCAGUGAGUUUUGGACUGAAAUGAAAAGGACUGUCUGAAAAAUAAGGCUUACGGAUGAAAUUUCUGUACUUUUAAAAAGUAGGCUCUCGAUGUUCAUUGCACUACAAAAGAGUUAAACCAAAUGAAUGGCCACAUUUCAAAGAGGUGACUCAUGACCAUCUUUUCAAGAACAACCAAUACUGAUCUUGACUUCAACAUUCAUAUAUCAUGUAAGCAUUUCAAACAAACAUCUCCUCCUCAACUACUUGCCAUACCACAAGACGGAGAGGAUUGAUAAAGAGCUGCAGUUCUUCAGAAACGAUAGGCCAGGGGUGAGCUUUCUCGGCAUAGAGAACAAAUGUCUGAGGAGGGUCAUAGUCUCAGUCUCAGUUUAGAUUGAUUCAUUCAGACGCACAUCAACUCUUAUCAGGAGAUGCAAUCACCUGGACAACAAUGUUGAACCCAUUGUCCCCACCCUAGCCCUCAGCACAAAACAAUACAACAGGCAACAAUCCAUCCUUCUUAUGCUCACCCAUUCAUUUUCGUCUUGUCUUACCAUACCAUUUUCCUCAAAAUUGAAAUCUACUUGAUAGGUAACAGACAACAAUAAAGUUGACUGGAACACUGAAUAAUGUUUGUGAUGCAGAAACUUUGACGAUAUAAGUGAUGAGUUAAUAAGCUUUUUUAAAAAAAGCCAAAUAUUGCUCCUGUGAAACUCCAGAGUACUUUGCUUCCUCUUCACUUUUUUUCGAUAUAAUGCUAUCUCUUCUGUUUCUGAAUAACUUGAUGAAUGCUGUUUAUAGAAUGGUAAUUAUAUCAUUCAAAUAUGGAAUUGAAGAACAGUGUUUAAUUUAGUGCUUAGAGCAUUGAAAUAGGAAAUCCUGCCCUUUGCUCAAUUUAGAAAGUUUCAUUUGAACUCCUGAUAUAAUGGGAUAACUAUAUAUACAAUAGGAACAUCAUUUUUGGAAAUUGGAUGUUUAAAAUAGUGGUAGAUGGACUUGGGUCAGUUCAGUGAAGUUUUGUUUAUUAAAGGUCAGAAAGUCAUUUGAAGCAGAAACUAACUGAUAACAUUUCCAAGUAGACUUAUGAUCUAGUCAAGGUUCAGCAGGAUACCUGUGGCAUGAAUUAAUGAAAUGUUUGUACUGCUGAGUUUAUGACAGACAGGGGGAAAGAGAUCAGAGAUAUCAGUUUAGGUUUGACUUGAAAUCAGAAGAACUAGGUUUUCAGUUCAGGAGAAACAGUCACCUGAGCAAAAGUGGUUUUAAUUGUGACAUUUUCAAGCUAGGACGUUUUGUGGAGAAGUCCUUAAGUUAGAACUGAAUGAGGUUUAGGUCAUCAGAAUUGGAAAAAAGGCUAAUAUCAACAGAUUUGUUAAGAAGUUUUAAAACUCUCUCACCAGUCCAACAAGGAGAUCUGAAAAGAACAAGUUAAGCAUGAAAUUAAAAGUUGAAAUAGGAGUUAUCAUUCUUUGAGUAGCUAUAAAAGUAGUGUUGGGAAACAGGAUAAAACAUGAUUUGCUCUUUAUGUUAUGACUCUUAAAUUGUUUAGCUUUGUUUGUUAGCUUUUUUUGGUAAUAAACUUGUGUGAUUUUGUUAAAGAAUAUUUGCAGCCUUUUGUGCCUCUGUUCAGUGAUGAAAUACUAAACUUACCCUUCACAAAAGAAAAAUAAACAUAUGAUCUAUAUAUCAUUUUGGGGUCUAACUUCUACAGGGUUAAAGUCAACUGAGAACAUAACAUUAGUUGCAGUGCCACAUUCUUCAUUUGGUUAAAUUGAUGUAAGGGGCUUAUUUUUAGA